rnacentral:rRNA from 1 species
AGAGUUUGAUCAUGGCUCAGGACGAACGCUGGCGGCGUGCUUAACACAUGCAAGUCGAACGGAAAGGCCCUUCGGGGUACUCGAGUGGCGAACGGGUGAGUAACACGUGGGUGAUCUGCCCUGCACUUUGGGAUAAGCCUGGGAAACUGGGUCUAAUACCGGAUAUACCUCAUGGACUGCAUGGUUUGUGGGGGAAAGCUUUUGCGGUGUGGGAUGGGCCCGCGGCCUAUCAGCUUGUUGGUGAGGUUAUGGCUUACCAAGGCGACGACGGGUAGCCGGCCUGAGAGGGUGACCGGCCACACUGGGACUGAGAUACGGCCCAGACUCCUACGGGAGGCAGCAGUGGGGAAUAUUGCACAAUGGGCGCAAGCCUGAUGCAGCGACGCCGCGUGAGGGAUGACGGCCUUCGGGUUGUAAACCUCUUUCAGCAGGGACGAAGCGAAAGUGACGGUACCUGUAGAAGAAGGACCGGCCAACUACGUGCCAGCAGCCGCGGUA